rnacentral:rRNA from 1 species
AUUGAACGCUGGCGGCAUGCUUUACACAUGCAAGUCGAACGGUAACAGGCCUUCGGGUGCUGACGAGUGGCGAACGGGUGAGUAAUGCAUCGGAACGUACCCAGAGGUGGGGGAUAACGCAGCGAAAGCUGUGCUAAUACCGCAUGUGAUCUGAGGAUGAAAGCGGGGGACCGAGCAGCAAUGUUUGGCCUCGCGCCUUUGGAGCGGCCGAUGUCGGAUUAGCUAGUUGGUGGGGUAAAGGCCUACCAAGGCGACGAUCCGUAGCUGGUCUGAGAGGACGACCAGCCACACUGGGACUGAGGCACGGCCCAGACUCCUACGGGGGGCAGCAGUGGGGAAUUUUGGACAAUGGGCGCAAGCCUGAUCCAGCAAUGCCGCGUGCGGGAAGAAGGCCUUCGGGUUGUAAACCGCUUUUGGCAGGAACGAAACGGUGUCCGCUAAUACCGGGCGCUAAUGACGGUACCUGCAGAAUAAGCACCGGCUAACUACGUG